rnacentral:misc_RNA from 1 species
GCUGCGCUUCUUCCAUUCCCAAGAGGUAUGGAUCUAGUAGAACGAGGAGGGUUGGUAGCAUUCUAGAGGUUGCGGUCUUCACACCGGCGAUUCGUGUCCCCUUGCCGUCCGAUCUCGCCAGACCGCUCAGAGGGGUGGUGCCUCGGGAGGUCGCUGACAGGCUGUCGGAGCUCAGGGGACGGAUUGUAUCUCUAUCAAGAAAUGAUAUUUCGAACGUGGCUGAUGUUCUGGAGCUACAGAGUGCAAUUCAGGAGUAUUUGCCGGUUCUUCUUGGUUUGACAACAGAAGAGUACCGGCUUGAGACUUUGGUGGAGUUCAAGUGGAAGAGUCUUGGAGAUGACGGGAAAGAAACUAGUUUGUCUAGUGCUUGGUAUGAAUUGUUGUCAGUUGUUCACAUGAUGGCCAUGUUGUUUUUACUGCAAGC